rnacentral:rRNA from 1 species
UACGGGGGGGGCAAGCGUUGUUCGGAAUUACUGGGCGUAAAGGGCUCGUAGGCGGCCAACUAAGUCGGAUGUGAAAUCCCCAGGCUUAACCUGGGAACUGCAUCCGAUACUGGAUGGCUUGAAUCCGGGAGAGGGAUGCAGAAUUCCAGGUGUAGCGGUGAAAUGCGUAGAUAUCUGGAGGAAUACCGGUGGCGAAGGCGGCAUCCUGGACCGGCAUUGACGCUGAGGAGCGAAAGCUAGGGAGCAAGCGGG